rnacentral:rRNA from 1 species
UACGUAGGGUGCGAGCGUUGUCCGGAAUUAUUGGGCGUAAAGAGCUCGUAGGCGGUUUGUUGCGUCGGCUGUGAAAACCCGGGGCUCAACCCCGGGCCUGCAGCCGAUACGGGCAGACUAGAGUUCGGCAGGGGAGACUGGAAUUCCUGGUGCAGCGGUGAAAUGCGCAGAUAUCAGGAGGAACACCGGUGGCGAAGGCGGGUCUCUGGGCCGAUACUGACGCUGAGGAGCGAAAGCGUGGGGAGCGAACAGG